AUGCAAGUCGAACGGACUUACAUUGAAGCCUAGCGAUAUGUAAGUUAGUGGCGGACGGGUGAGUAACGCGUGGGUAACCUGCCUUGUACUGGGGGACAACAGUUGGAAACGACUGCUAAUACCGCAUAAGCGCACAGCUUCGCAUGAAGCAGUGUGAAAAACUCCGGUGGUACAAGAUGGACCCGCGUCUGAUUAGCUGGUUGGUGAGGUAACGGCCCACCAAGGCGACGAUCAGUAGCCGGCCUGAGAGGGUGAACGGCCACAUUGGGACUGAGACACGGCCCAAACCCCUACGGGAGGCAGCAGUGGGGAAUAUUGCACAAUGGGGGAAACCCUGAUGCAGCAACGCCGCGUGAGUGAAGAAGUAUUUCGGUAUGUAAAGCUCUAUCAGCAGGAAAGAAAAUGACGGUACCUGACUAAGAAGCCCCGGCUAACUACGUGCCAGCAGCCGCGGUAAUACGUAGGGGGCAAGCGUUAUCCGGAUUUACUGGGUGUAAAGGGAGCGUAGACGGUUUUGCAAGUCUGAAGUGAAAGCCCGGGGCUUAACCCCGGGACUGCUUUGGAAACUGUAGAACUAGAGUGCAGGAGAGGUAAGUGGAAUUCCUAGUGUAGCGGUGAAAUGCGUAGAUAUUAGGAGGAACACCAGUGGCGAAGGCGGCUUACUGGACUGUAACUGACGUUGAGGCUCGAAAGCGUGGGGAGCAAACAGGAUUAGAUACCCUGGUAGUCCACGCCGUAAACGAUGAUUACUAGGUGUUGGUGGGUACGACCCAUCGGUGCCGCAGCAAACGCAGUAAGUAAUCCACCUGGGGAGUACGUUCGCAAGA
rnacentral:rRNA from 1 species